rnacentral:rRNA from 1 species
AGAGUUUGAUCAUGGCUCAGAACGAACGCUGGCGGCAGGCCUAACACAUGCAAGUCGAGCGCCCGCAAGGGAGCGGCAGACGGGUGAGUAACGCGUGGGAACGUGCCCUUUGGUUCGGAAUAUUCCCGGGAAACUGGGAGCAAAACCGGAUAAGCCCUUCGGGGGAAAGUUUACGCCAAAGGAUCGGCCCGCGUUAGAUUAGGUAGUUGGUGGGGUAACGGCCUACCAAGCCUACGAUCUAUAGCUGAUCUGAGAGGAUGAUCAGCCACACUGGGACUGAGACACGGCCCAGACUCCUACGGGAGGCAGCAGUGGGGAAUCUUGGACAAUGGGCGCAAGCCUGAUCCAGCCAUGCCGCGUGGAUGACUGAAGGCCCUAGGGUUGUAAAGUCCUUUCGACGGGGACGAUAAUGACGGUACCCGUAGAAGAAGCCCCGGCUAACUUCGUGCCAGCAGCCGCGGUAAUACGAAGGGGGCUAGCGUUGUUCGGAUUUACUGGGCGUAAAGGGCGCGUAGGCGGAUUUUUAAGUCGGGGGUGAAAUCCCGGAGCUCAACUCCGGAACUGCCAUUGAAACUGUCGAGCUGGAAUCUCAGAGGGGGUAGCGGAAUUCCAAAUGUAGGGGUGAAAUCCGUAGAUAUUUGGAGGAACACCGGUGGCGAAGGCGGCUACCUGGAUGAGUAUUGACACUGAGGCUCGAAAGCGUGGGGAUCAAACAGGAUUAGAUACCCUGGUAGUCC